rnacentral:tRNA from 1 species
GUGCCCGUAGUUUAACUGGAUAAAACAUCGGCCUCCGGAGCCGAAAAGUGCGGGUUCAAGUCCCGCCGGGCGCACCA